CCUACGGGAGGCAGCAGUGGGGAAUAUUGGACAAUGGGCGAAAGCCUGAUCCAGCAAUGCCGCGUGAGUGAUGAAGGCCUUAGGGUCGUAAAGCUCUUUUACCAGGGAUGAUAAUGACAGUACCUGGAGAAUAAGCUCCGGCUAACUCCGUGCCAGCAGCCGCGGUAAUACGGAGGGAGCUAGCGUUGUUCGGAAUUACUGGGCGUAAAGCGUGCGUAGGCGGUUAUUCAAGUCAGAGGUGAAAGCCCGGGGCUCAACCCCGGAACGGCCUUUGAAACUAGAUAACUAGAAUCUUGGAGAGGUCAGUGGAAUUCCGAGUGUAGAGGUGAAAUUCGUAGAUAUUCGGAAGAACACCAGUGGCGAAGGCGACUGACUGGACAAGUAUUGACGCUGAGGUACGAAAGCGUGGGGAGCAAACAGGAUUAGAUACCCUGGUAGUCCACGCCGUAAACGAUGAUAACUAGCUGUCCGGACACUUGGUGUUUGGGUGGCGCAGCUAACGCAUUAAGUUAUCCGCCUGGGGAGUACGGUCGCAAGAUUAAAACUUAAAUGAAAUUGACGG
rnacentral:rRNA from 1 species